AUUGAACGCUGGCGGCAGGCCUAACACAUGCAAGUCGAGCGGAUGAAGGGAGCUUGCUCCUGGAUUCAGCGGCGGACGGGUGAGUAAUGCCUAGGAAUCUGCCUGGUAGUGGGGGAUAACGUCCGGAAACGGGCGCUAAUACCGCAUACGUCCUGAGGGAGAAAGUGGGGGAUCUUCGGACCUCACGCUAUCAGAUGAGCCUAGGUCGGAUUAGCUAGUUGGUGGGGUAAAGGCCUACCAAGGCGACGAUCCGUAACUGGUCUGAGAGGAUGAUCAGUCACACUGGAACUGAGACACGGUCCAGACUCCUACGGGAGGCAGCAGUGGGGAAUAUUGGACAAUGGGCGAAAGCCUGAUCCAGCCAUGCCGCGUGUGUGAAGAAGGUCUUCGGAUUGUAAAGCACUUUAAGUUGGGAGGAAGGGCAGUAAGUUAAUACCUUGCUGUUUUGACGUUACUAAAAGAAUAAGCACCGGCUAACUUCGU
rnacentral:rRNA from 1 species